GGGCAGGUGAUGAUGAUGUUUGGACUGAUACUUGAUGUCUCAAAAUCGAGCUUUUUAAAACUGAUGCCCA
rfam:Zea mays cultivar B73 chromosome 9, whole genome shotgun sequence.